CCUACGGGUGGCAGCAGUGAGGAAUAUUGGUCAAUGGGCUUACGCCUGAACCAGCCAAGUCGCGUGAGGGAAGACUGCCCUAUGGGUUGUAAACCUCUUUUGUCAGGGAGCAACUCCGGCUACGUGUAGCCGGACUGAGAGUACCUGAAGAAAAAGCAUCGGCUAACUCCGUGCCAGCAGCCGCGGUAAUACGUAAGGGGCAAGCGUGAUCCGGAUGUACUGGGUGUAAAGGGAGCGUAGACGGGAAGGCAAGUGUGGAGUGAAAGCCCGUGGCCCAAACACGGGACUGCGUUGGAAACUGUGUUGCGUGAGUGCGGGAGGGGGAAGCGGAAUUCCUAGGGUAGCGGUGAAAUGCGUAGAUAUUAGGAGGAACACCGGUGGCGAAGGCGGCUUACUGGACUGUAACUGACGUUGAGGCUCGAAGGCGUGGGGAGCAAACAGGAUUAGAUACCCGAGUAGUC
rnacentral:rRNA from 1 species